rnacentral:rRNA from 1 species
AUUGAACGCUGGCGGCAGGCCUAACACAUGCAAGUCGAACGGUAACAGGAAGCAGCUUGCUGCUUUGCUGACGAGUGGCGGACGGGUGAGUAAUGUCUGGGAAACUGCCUGAUGGAGGGGGAUAACUACUGGAAACGGUAGCUAAUACCGCAUAACGUCGCAAGACCAAAGAGGGGGACCUUCGGGCCUCUUGCCAUCGGAUGUGCCCAGAUGGGAUUAGCUAGUAGGUGGGGUAACGGCUCACCUAGGCGACGAUCCCUAGCUGGUCUGAGAGGAUGACCAGCCACACUGGAACUGAGACACGGUCCAGACUCCUACGGGAGGCAGCAGUGGGGAAUAUUGCACAAUGGGCGCAAGCCUGAUGCAGCCAUGCCGCGUGUAUGAAGAAGGCCUUCGGGUUGUAAAGUACUUUCAGCGGGGAGGAAGGGAGUAAAGUUAAUACCUUUGCUCAUUGACGUUACCCGCAGAAGAAGUACCGGCUAACUCCGUG